rnacentral:lncRNA from 1 species
UUAUUAUUAUUAUUAUUAUUAUUAUUAUUAUUAUUAUUAUUAUGCAGUGAUGUUGACCGGCUAUAUCUGCCUAGAAGAUCAGGGGGCAGAGGACUCUUACAAGUAAAGCAAGCAGUCAAAGAAGAAGAACAUGCCCUGGCAGAAUAUGUAAAGCAAAGUGAAGAACCUGCUUUGAUUGAAGUCAAAAAUCAGAAACUCCUCAAAACACAGCAGACAAAAAACCAGUACAAGAAAACCGCACUACAAACUAGAGCUGACAGCUGGCACAACAAAACAUUGCACGAAAAGUUCCUUGACAAAAUUGAAGGAAAAGCUGAUAAGGAGAAGACCUGGCUCUGGCUCACAAAUGGGACCCUGAAGAAGGAGACAGAAGGCCUGAUCCUUGCAGCCCAGGAGCAAGACAUCAGGACAAAGGCAAUUAAGGCCAAGAUCGAAAAAUCAGCUGAUGACCCAAAGUGCAGACUGUGCAAGGAAACCAACGAAACCAUUGAUCAUCUCCUCAGCUGCUGUAAGAAAAUCGCACAGACAGACUACAAACAGAGGCACAACUAUGUGGCCCAAAUGAUCCAUUGGAACUUAUGCCUCAAGUAUCACCCUGCAGCAAAGAACUGGUGGGAUCACAAACCUGCAAAAGUAUUGGAAAAUGAACAUGCAAAGAUACUGUGGGACUUCCGAAUCCAGACUGACAAAGUUCUGGAACACAACACACCAGACAUCACAGUUGUGGAAAAGAACAAGGUUUGGAUCAUUGAUGUUGCCAUCCCAGGUGACAGUCGCAUAGAUGAAAAACAACAGGAAAAACUCAGCCGCUAUCAGGACCUCAAGAUUGAACUUCAAAGACUCUGGCAGAAACCAGUGCAGGUGGUCCCAGUGGUGAUGGGCACACUGGGUGCCGUGCCAAAAGAUCUCAGCCGGCAUUUGGAAACAAUAGACAUUGACAAAAUCACCAUCUGCCAACUGCAAAAGGCCACCCUACUGGGAUCUGCAUGCAUCAUCAGAAAAUACAUCACACAGUCCUAG